GCCUAAAAUUAAGCCUAUUUUAAUCUUAUGCCACCAACAACCUUUUAGAAUUCAACAAAACAUUUUACCACUUUAGUAGAGGCGAUCAAAAGACUUAUUAGCGCUUUACCCCAAGUACCGCAAGGGAAAAAUGAAAUAGCUUUGAAAUAGAUUUAAAGCAAAAUACAGCAAAGAUUAUCACUUGUACCUUUUGCAUCAUGGUUUAGCCAGUCACCCUCAAGCAAAGCGAAGCAUUAGUUUGACACCCCGAAACUAGACGAGCUACUUCAAAAUAGUUUUUAGAACUAACCCAUCUCUGUUGCAAAAGAGUGGGAUGAUUUUUAAGUAGAGGUGAAAAGCCUACCGAGCCUAGAGAUAGCUGGUUAUUCAGGAAAAGAAUUUUAGUUCAACCUUAAGUCUUCCUAUUAUUCUUAUAAACCACCAAGACUUAAGAGCUACUCAAAUAAGGCACAGCUUAUUUGAUAAAGGAGACAACCUAUCAAAAAGGGUAAAAAUCCUUCUCCUACAGACCAAGUGGGCCUGAAAGCAGCCACCUUUAAGAAAGCGUUAAAGCUUCAUCUACCCUUUAACCAAAUUCCCAAAAACAUUUUAAACCCUUUACUCCUACUGAAUGAUUCUAUACACCCCUAUAGAAGCCCCCAUGCUAAAACUAGUAACAAGAAACUGUAUUUCUCCAAAAUAUAAGCAUAAACCAACAAGGACCAACCAUUGGUAAUUAACGUUAAUGAGCCUAUAGUAGCAACCCCCAAGAAAACCCUACUCAUAGCCACGUUAACCUAACACAAGCAUAUUCCUGGAAAGAUUCAAAGAAAGGGAAGGAACUCGGCAAACUUUAACCCCGCCUGUUUACCAAAAACAUCGCUUCUUGAAUUCCAUAAGAGGUCUAGCCUGCCCAGUGAUAUAAUUAAACGGCCGCGGUACCCUGACCGUGCGAAGGUAGCAUAAUCACUUGUUCUCUAAAUAGGGACUCGUAUCAACGGCGCCACGAGGGUUAUACUGUCUCCCCUCUCUAAUCAGUGAAACUGACUUCCCCGUGAAGAGGCGGGGAUAAAAAUACAAGACGAGAAGACCCCAUGGAGCUUUAAACCCAAUGACAACCUCCCUAAAUAAACCCACAAAAUAUAGAAAUCCUGUCCAUUGGUUUUAGGUUGGGGUGACCACGGAGUACAACUAAACCUCCAUGAUGAACGGACUUUCAACCUAAUCCAAGAGCUACCGCUCUAAGAAUUAACAACUUAACAUAACAUGAUCCGGCAACCGAUCAACGAACCAAGUUACCCUGGGGAUAACAGCGCAAUCCAUUUCAAGAGCCCCUAUCGACAAAUGGGUUUACGACCUCGAUGUUGGAUCAGGGUAUCCCAGUGGUGCAGCCGCUACUAAAGGUUUGUUUGUCCAACAAUUAAAACCCUACGUGAUCUGAGUUCAGACCGGAGUAAUCCAGGUCGGUUUCUAUCUGUAAAAUGUUGUCCCCAGUACGAAAGGACCGGGCCAACGUGGCCAAUGUAUCCCAAGCCACCACCCUAACUAAUGAAAACAACUCAAUUAGUCAAGACCUACAAAAAGAUCUGAGAUCAAGAUA
rnacentral:rRNA from 1 species